UACAGAGGUCUCAAGCGUUGUCCGGAUUUACUGGGCGUAAAGAGCGCGCAGGCGGUCGUUCAAGUCGCGUGUGAAAGCCCCCGGCUCAACUGGGGAGGGUCACGCGAUACUGAUCGACUCGAAGGCAGGAGAGGGAAGUGGAAUUCCCGGUGUAGUGGUGAAAUGCGUAGAUAUCGGGAGGAACACCAGUGGCGAAGGCGACUUCCUGGCCUGUUCUUGACGCUGAGGCGCGAAAGCCGGGGGAGCAAACGGG
rnacentral:rRNA from 1 species